AACUGUAUAUAUCACUUAAAAUAAGUAUAGACAUAAUCUUAUAAUUUAGUGUUUGUAUAAGUACUUUAUACAAAUGCAUAUGACUGUGCGUUGAUAUGUACAUCUACGCUAAUAACUUUAUAAAUAUGUACAUAUAUGCUAAUAACUGUAUAAACUUAUCUAGAAAUGUAUGUAUGAACUUAUCAUUGCGUAAGGAUGCACAUGUGUGCGCAUAUCGAUGUAUAUAUAACUGAUAGCAAGUAUAAACACACGUAUAAACAUCAUUGUACAUAAAUCAGUGUACAUAUACACAUUAAUAGCUGUAUAAACAUCAUUAGUGUAUCUAUAUAUAGUCAUAUAUGUUAAUGUAUAUAUAAAUGUAUAUAUUAGUGCAUUAUAGAGAUACAGUUAUGCACUUUGCACACACACACAUGAAUGUAUUUUUUAAACACUAAUAACUGUAUAUAUAGCGGAUAAAAAGUGUCUAUAUGGUCGUAUUUAUCAAUCAGUUUAUAUAGAAAUGUAUGUAUGCACUAUCAAUGCGUAAGGGUGCAUGUGUGUGCAUAUCAGUGUAUAUGUAACUGAUAGUAAGUUUAUACAUACACACAUAAACAUAUCAGUAUAUAUGUAUCUUAUAUAUACAUGCUGUAUAUAUCUAUAUAAACUGCUAAUAAAUGUCUCUAUGAUCAUAUAUAUUAAUAUAGAUAGAAUGCAUGUAUUAGUGUACACAUACAAGACAUUAGUUAUUUGCUAUAUAUAGAGGGUUAUUAGUGUGUAAAAAAUACAUUGAUGUGUGCGUGAUGUCUGUUUAUAUACGAUGUGUAUAUACUGAUAUGUAUGUAUAAAGUGCAUAAUUGUUUAUAUACAGUGCACUAAUAUAUACUUUUUUAUGGACAUUUAAGUAUAUGGCUAUAUAUACACUUACUAUCAUUUUAUACAGUUACUAACGUAUAUGUAUACUGAUUUAUGUACUACACACACACUUAGACUCAAACUCACAUUCACACAUACACACACACACACUCACACACACUCUCACUCUCACUCUCACUCACUCACACACACACUCACACUCACACUCACACUCGCACUCGCACUCGCACUCACAAUCGCACUCACACUCGCACUCGCAGAUAUAUAUACUACACAUAUAUGCGUAUUGUGUAUGGAUUGAUGUGUGCAUAUAUAUGAUAUGUAUAUACUGAUAUGUUUAUGCGUGUAUGUAUACUUUUGCUUGCAGUUUUUGUAUAAACUGAUAUAAGUACAUUGAUAUAUAUAUAUGCACACUCAUAUGUACGUGUAUAAAGGGUUUAUAUAUACACUAAUGUAUAAGACCAUGUAUUAUUAUUAUCAGUGAUAUAUACAAUUAUUAGAAUAAUUUGUGUACGUAUGGAUGUAUAGCAAUAUAUAUCAUUAUUUUCGGUGUAUAUACAGCUAUUUAUGUGUAAAAAAUACAUUGAUAUGUGUGUGUGUAAUGUUUGUAUAUAUUCGAUGUGUGUAUACUGAUAUGUGUGUGUGUAAAGUGCGUAACUGUAUCGAUACAAUGCGCUAAAAUAUAUAUUUCUAUAUAUAUUGAUGUAUCAGUUCAUACAGUUAUUAACGUAUAUGUACAUGAAUUUAUAUAUUACACACACACUCACUCACACUUACACUCACACUCACCACUCACUCAUACACACACAUAUAUACACUCACAUUCACACUCACACUCACACUCACUCAUACACACUCACAAAUAUAUAUACUACACAUGUUUACGUAUUGUGUAUGGACUGUAUGUGAAUAUAUACGAUGUGUUUAUAUUGAUAUGUUUAUGCGAGUAUAUGUACAAUUGCUUGCUUUCAGUUAUAUACAAUUAUCAAUGUAUAUAUACACAAAUAUGCACACGCCCAUGCACCGUUAUGC
rnacentral:lncRNA from 1 species